rnacentral:lncRNA from 1 species
CACCAGUCUGCACAUCUUAGUUUUGCUUUGACUUUUGUCAUCGAACAUCUCUAAAGAUCAGAGUUACUAGAAAUUACUUUUGGGAUAAAAGUUUUGUCAUGUAAAGUUUUUCUGGCAAAUUGUAGCUUGCAGCAAUGAAAAGCUUACAGUAACUGGCCAUCUAAAUCUACUCCAGCAAGCUUUAAGCAGAGGAGGGACAAUUGUAACCUGAUUUCUUUAGAAUAAACCUCACAGAACAAAAGAAGUAAAGGGAUGCAAAGUCUCUGAAGGGGAGCUGUUAGACUGCAAAAUCAGCUUAAAUCUGGCUCUGGGUAGAACAGCCCUUAAAUUCAAGAUAGACCCUUUGGUCCCCUCAAAUCAGCACAGAGGACUCCCCAGGAUCCCUCCCUCAAGGCUCCAUGGGAUGGACACACAUUUGCAGUUGGGAAAAAGCAGAGGAGCUGCACUGUACAGCUGUUAGCAGAAAAUUUGAGAAGAACUGCUCUGGUGAAAUUUGAGAUUCAAGUUUAGGCAUUAGUGGUGAUGGUAACACUGCCAGAAUGGCUCACUCACUCUCUGCCAGGCUGGUGUGGCCUCAAAGGCUGCCCCUGCUGAUGGCAGGGUGUGUGAAGCCUCUGCUGAGCAGGCAGUGGUAUCACCCCAGAACAUCUCCUCACAGCAGGGACAGAGAUGGACCAGCCCAGCACAUGGAAAUGGAUCUCUCCAGCUCAACACUCAGGGCCUGGGCAGAGAGAGGUGGAGUGUGGCUGUGGAGUUCCCCGAUCCUUCCAUGGAUAUUGGCGUCUGCAGCACCUGGGAUCCACUGCACAACUCCUUCCUCCAGAGGCCAAAGCUGAGCCUACAGUUUCAAGCAGCAUAAUCACCUUUCCAAGGCAAUAGCAUGCACUUCCCAAAAGCAGCUGGUUAAGAUGGCUCAGAAGCAAUGACAAGAAUGUGGUGAAAAAUUUGGUUCAUCAAUCCAGUUUCUGGACAUGGUAGGGAAGAGAUACCUUUCGAUAAAACAUCAAACACUGUCUGUUUUAUUUUUUGUGUUUGUCUGUGCUCCCACUAUGAUCAUCCCUUGAACUGUUAUUUUGCAAAAAGUUAUCUAGGAAAGAAAUUAUGCUUAUUCAGGGAGAGCCAUAAUUUUCAUCUGUUUAAAAUGUACCAGGUAUGUUUUAAACCCUGCAAACACAUCGAGAGCUCCAGAGUUUGUAGUGCAAUUUUCUGCAGCACUGAUUUAUUCUAUUUUACAAUAAUUAUGCCCUGGGCUACCAGGUAGGCUCAAUACCAGGAGUGGGAGAAGCAGACCUGAAAGAUGCUUUGGAUACAGCCCAGACAGGUUUUAUGCUGCCUGCCAAGUCUGGCCUUGCACUACAAACCGGUCUGCUGUUGCCAUCUGCUGGAAAAAUCC